rnacentral:ribozyme from 1 species
AGAUUCGGAACACUUUUGUUGUUGUCCUGUGUUUUUGUUUUGUUUUUAUUUUUUUUUUUUUUUUGCGAGAAAUUGACAUUGUUGUCGU